rnacentral:tRNA from 1 species
GGUUAAGCGCCUUCUAGGCAUUCUGGUUUCGGCCCAGAAAAUGAAGAAACUCUUCCUUAUACCU